rnacentral:rRNA from 1 species
GACGAACGCUGGCGGCGUGCUUAACACAUGCAAGUCGAACGGUGAAGCUCCAGCUUGCUGGAGUGGAUCAGUGGCGAACGGGUGAGUAACACGUGAGCAACCUGCCCCUGACUCUGGAAUAAGCGCUGGAAUCGGCGUCUAAUACUGGAUACGAGAAGGGUCCGCAUGGGCACUUUCUGGAAAGUUUUUCGGUUGGGGAUGGGCUCGCGGCCUAUCAGCUUGUUGGUGAGGUAAUGGCUCACCAAGGCGACGACGGGUAGCCGGCCUGAGAGGGCGACCGGCCACACUGGGACUGAGACACGGCCCAGACUCCUACGGGAGGCAGCAGUGGGGAAUAUUGCACAAUGGGCGAAAGCCUGAUGCAGCGACGCCGCGUGAGGGAUGACGGCCUUCGGGUUGUAAACCUCUUUCAGCAGGGAAGAAGCGAAAGUGACGGUACCUGCAGAAGAAGCACCGGCUAACUACGUG